UCCGGAUUAGCUGAGAGGUGGUGCAUGGCCGUCGUCAGUUCGUACUGCGAAGCAUCCUGUUAAGUCAGGCAACGAGCGAGACCCACGUCCACAGUUGCCAGCAUACCCUCCGGGGUGAUGGGUACACUGUGGAGACCGCCGCUGCUAAAGCGGAGGAAGGAAUGGGCAACGGUAGGUCAGUAUGCCCCGAAUCUCCCGGGCUACACGCGGGCUACAAUGGUUGGUACAAUGGGCAUCUACCCCGAAAGGGGAAGGAAAUCUCUUAAAGCCAAUCGUAGUUCGGAUUGAGGGCUGCAACUCGCCCUCAUGAAGCUGGAAUCCGUAGUAAUCGCGUUUCAACAGAACGCGGUGAAUACGUCCCUGCUCCUU
rnacentral:rRNA from 1 species